AGUGAACGCUGGCGGUAUGCCUAACACAUGCAAGUCGAACGGCAGCACAGUAAGAGCUUGCUCUUACGGGUGGCGAGUGGCUGACGGGUGAGGAAUACAUCGGAAUCUACUUUUUCGUGGGGGAUAACGUAGGGAAACUUACGCUAAUACCGCAUACGACCUACGGGUGAAAGCAGGGGAUCUUCGGACCUUGCGCGAUUGAAUGAGCCGAUGUCGGAUUAGCUAGUUGGCGGGGUAAAGGCCCACCAAGGCGACGAUCCGUAGCUGGUCUGAGAGGAUGAUCAGCCACACUGGAACUGAGACACGGUCCAGACUCCUACGGGAGGCAGCAGUGGGGAAUAUUGGACAAUGGGCGCAAGCCUGAUCCAGCCAUACCGCGUGGGUGAAGAAGGCCUUCGGGUUGUAAAGCCCUUUUGUUGGGAAAGAAAAGCAGCAGGUUAAUACCCCGCUGUUCUGACGGUACCCAAAGAAUAAGCACCGGCUAACUUCGUG
rnacentral:rRNA from 1 species